rnacentral:tRNA from 1 species
AGGGGUAUUGCUCAGUGGUAGAGUGCAUGCUUAGCAUGCAUGAGGUCCUGAGUUCAUUUCCCAGUACCUCCC